UUCCUGGUGGUCUAGUGGUUAGGAUUUGGCACUUUCACCGCCUUGGCCUGGGUUUGAUUCCCGGUCAGGGAA
rfam:Erinaceus europaeus unplaced genomic scaffold scaffold00446, whole genome shotgun sequence